rnacentral:rRNA from 1 species
UACGUAGGGCGCAAGCGUUGUCCGGAAUUAUUGGGCGUAAAGAGCUCGUAGGCGGCCAGUUGCGUCCGCUGUGAAAUCCCGGGGCUUAACCCCGGGCGUGCAGUGGAUACGGGCUGGCUAGAGGCAGGCAGGGGAGAACGGAAUUCCCGGUGUAGCGGUGAAAUGCGCAGAUAUCGGGGGGAACACCGGUGGCGAAGGCGGUUCUCUGGGCCUGUACUGACGCUGAGGAGCGAAAGCGUGGGGAGCAAACAGG